rnacentral:rRNA from 1 species
GAAUAUUGCGCAAUGGGGGAAACCCUGACGCAGCGACGCCGCGUGAGCGAUGAAGGCCUUAGGGUCGUAAAGCUCUGUUGUAAGGGACGAACGUUUAUCUGGCGAACAGUCAGAUAAAGUGACGGUACCUUACCAGCAAGCCCCGGCUAACUACGUGCCAGCAGCCGCGGUAAGACGUAGGGGGCGAGCGUUGUCCGGAAUUACUGGGCGUAAAGAGCACGUAGGCGGGUAAUUAAGUCAGAUGUGAAAGACCGGGGCCCAACCGCGGGGUUGCAUCUGAAACUGGUUAUCUUGAGGGCAGGAGAGGAAAGUGGAAUUCCUGGUGUAGCGGUGAAAUGCGUAGAAAUCAGGAGGAAUACCAGUGGCGAAGGCGGCUUUCUGGACUGACCCUGACGCUGAGGUGCGAAAG